UGAGUAACCUGCCCUUCACCCUGGGAUAACUCCGGGGAAACCGGGGCUAAUACUGGAUAUGACUCGAACAGGCAUCUGUUUCGGGUGGAAAGAUUUAUUGGUGGAGGAUGGACUCGCGGCCUAUCAGCUUGUUGGUGAGGUAAUGGCUCACCAAGGCGACGACGGGUAGCCGGCCUGAGAGGGCGAUCGGCCACACUGGGACUGAGACACGGCCCAGACUCCGUACGGGAGGCA
rnacentral:rRNA from 1 species